UUCUCAUAGUCUACAAAUAACAGUUGCUGAGUACCUGAGGAGAUAUCUGGGGCUCCAAGUAACAAAUCCGGAGGCAGAGGAGGGAUGUCCUGGACAGCACAAUUGAUACGCCAGUAACCUUGAGUUGGUCUCUGUGGGGAACAUUAGUGGCAUUUGCCAAAAGCACUGCCGCUGUGAGCCGGAUGUCCUGCUGUGUCACACAAACCACACGUACACGUCUCUUCAACCUGCAAACCCAGACCUAAUUCCACUAAAGCCUCAAACUAAUUCCUCACUGGCAAAACUAGGGAAAAACCCAAACAAACCUUGAGCCUAAUUGCUUGAAAACAGUAGGACACCUAGUGGAUUUAUAGGGAAUAUCUUUGGGAUGAUCAGCAACAUUUUGUCAUUUUCUUGGCACAACCAGCUGUGAACUUAUUUAUAGAGGGAUCACUGAAAUAUCAGGGUUUCUGUUUAAUAAAUUAAUCUUGUUAUGGCUGUUACA
rnacentral:lncRNA from 1 species